CAAUCAGUCCCGCUGUUUCUAAUUGGCCGGGGUAGCGCCCCCUCUUCCUCCUCCUCUUCCUCCUCCUCCUCCUCUGCUCUCCGGUUUAUUGUCACUGACAGUCGGAUUAUUCCCUCACAGCGGCAGCUGCUCCGUCUCAUCCUCCUGCUCUCCCUCCGACAAUGCGGACACCAACUACGGAUUAAUAAUUCCUCCAUCAGUUCCUCCUCUGCACGGAUCGUUUCCUGGGAUGUCGUCACAUCCUCAAAUCUGAGCACACUGAUACCGGAGCGAGGAUAAACCACACCCCCACCCCCCUCCUCCGACAUUAGCCUACCCAAAACAAAUCCCGCCGUCCAGACCCUCGAACCCAUCCUCCCCUCACCCCGCUUACAGAUCCAGGGCUCUCCAAGGGUUUCUCGCCGGGUUCUCCAGAGGGUUCUCUGAGGUGUUCUGGUACGCUCCACACGCCUCUGGGCCUCAGACCUUCAUGCGUCUCCCAGCGGCAGAGUCCACCCACACCUCCACCCACCACACCACCACCACCACCACCACCACCACCUCUACCAUGAGCUGUGAACAGGAAUUUGGAGAUGGCGCCCUGGGAGUCACGCUGACGCUGCGCCUCCUCAUGCACGGAAAGGAAGUGGGGAGCAUUAUCGGAAAGUCUGAGGAGGAGGCGGCAGCAGAGAUUCCUCCAGCAUUAACCCAGCCUGCAGACCAGAGCUGAUGACUGAAAGACACCCAGCCUGCCUCACACAUG
rnacentral:lncRNA from 1 species